GCCACAGGGUAAUGGGCAGUGCGAACGUUUUAAUUGAACCCUACAUGACCUAUUGCGUACUUUGCCUCCUGAAAAAAAGAAGCAGUGGCCUCAACAUUUGCCGCAGCUCGUCUAUGCAUAUAACACCACAGUGCAUCAGUCCACAGGGGUAAGUCCACAUUUCCUUAUGUUUGGAUCGGAACCCAGAUUGCCAGUUGAUUUUUUGUUGAAUAAUCAAUGGGAGAUGACAGUGGAAGCACCUGAAAGGUGGAUUGUGGAGCAUCAGGAUAGACUCCAGGUGUCAUAUGAGGAAGUGCAAAAAAGGAGGAAGUGAUAGGAUUGCCCGACGUAACCAGCGCCAUAAGAGUAGGAUAAAUGAUAAAGGGUUUUGUGAUGGUGAGUUGGUUUAUUUAAGAAACCAUCAACGUGGGCGGAAUAAAAUCCAGGACAUGUAUGAUUCAUGUUUGUAUAAGGUUGUUCGGGCACCAGGUGAGCGGAGUGCAGUAUAUUCAGUUGCUCCGCUGUCUCGGGAAGGGCCGGAGAAGCAGGUGCAUCGGUCAGAAAUGCGUAAGGCAUUUUAUGAACCUGGAGCAGAAGAUGUGGGCCUUCCUGUUCUUAGUGAAGUGUCUAACGGAGGGGCUGGUACUGACUCUGCGUUGGAGAGGGAUUCUGCCUCGGAUAGUGAUUCUGUGCCGAUUGUAGUAUUGCAUAAUGAUGAUGAUGUAGUUCCUUUGAGUGGUCCUCACUACCAACACUUAGAGUGUUUGCUUGUCUCCGGGGAGCAGCCGUUGAGCUUGGGGCAUCCAAAGAGAAGUACAGCAGGUCAACAUUCAAACCCUUAUAGAUUACCAAGAUCUGUGGCAGCAGUUAGUGAAGAUUCAGAUUAAAGAAUAAAUUUGUUAUUUUUGGAAUUUAUUUAUUGUUAUCGUCGGGUCAUUUGGGGGGAUAGAAUGUAGCCAGGCAAGGCCUACCAGUAGAGGGGUGUGGUUGGCUAAUUAGUCCAAGACUUUUUAAGCAGGCACUGGGCAAGAGGCCUUGAAAUGUGGGCCUUGUUUUGAAAGCACAUGGGAUGGUGCUGCUGUGUGUUGAAUUUGCCCCAGAUGAGGUAGGCCAAGUUUAUUAUUUUUGUUUUGGUUGAAUUGUUUAUUUAAGGGGAUUUAUUUUGAUUGUAUGGGAAAAUUCUGUUUGUUUAUUUAGAUGCAGAUGAAUUGAGUAAUGCUAACUGGGUAUGUUGACCGCUGCCUGUGUAGGUAAAUAUAUGGGCUUUGUCUUAGUUUUUUAAAAUAAGAUUGCAUGAAAGGUUUCAUUUGUAUUUCUCUUUGGAAAGGUGUUUUUGACUCUCUGAUCUGGAUAAAUGUUCAAAAAACCAACUGAUUGUUAUAUCUGCUAUUUGCCAAUGAAGUGUUUUAGAUGUGGAUAAAACCUGGAAUGCUGAUUGGCUGCUUUUUGGGUAGCUGAUAAAGUUAAGUCGAUUGCUGUUUCUCCCGUGUUGUUUUUGUUUAGUUCCCUGGUCGGCCGGUCUCAGAAGUGUGCUGCAUGGUGGCAGCAAGUGUACAUUGUGAACUGUUUGUGUACGAGUCCGGUUGGCUGGGGUUCUGUUAUCUUUUUCUUUUGUUUCUUUUUUUUUAUUAAUGACCAUCUUCCCAGCCUUAUGUCAUUAGCUCGACUCAUUGUGUUUGUAUUCUGUGUGUGCAUACCUUUGGGGUAUGGGAUCCAUGUUUGCUGUGGUGUUUUUUUGAGUUAUGAGUGAAGGGUUAUGUUUUGAGUUGUUGUUCUAUUUUGAAUUGUGGUGUUUUUUCCAUUGAUUUUUGGUUCUUUCUUUUUACUGUCAUUAAAAAAUGGAUGUUUCCUUAUACCUUAAAGGUUUGCCACACGCAACUGAACCAGCUACUAUAGAGAGCUUUUGAGCUGGUGGUUAACAUCUUGGAGAGCUGAGAUUAAUUUUGGAUGAGUUAUUUAAAUAAAUCAUUUCAUUUAUAUGUUUAAUUGUGUACAUUAUUUGUGCCCUAUUGUUUGUAAUAAACCUUUUUUGUUGUACUUUGAGUAGUCCAAAGGGUUUUGACUUUGUGCCUGUGCAUUAAACAAGGUAUUCUCUUUCAAAUUAGUUGGAAGGGGUGGCGUAGUGCUACACAAGAGAGGGUAAUGAACUAAUUAUUAAACUAUUAACAGGGAGAAGAAGGGGGCGGAGACAAGAGACAAGACACCGAAGGUCAUAUUUGAGUGCUUAAAGCUAUUUUUGGUGUGAUUUGCCCUCUCCUAAAAUUACUGGUCACAAUGAUGCAGAAAUAUUUGUAGCUUUUAUAAUAAGUUACACAUGUUUAACAUUUCUCAUUAAACAUUCUACAUUUAUUAACAUCUAUCUAUCUAUGCACAUUCAUUCGCAGUCGCGGAGACAGAAACUAGAGUUUUAACACGUCAUCGCAUUCGCGAGGGCUUUUUGGUCAAGUUAAAGAAUG